GCCAAAUUGCUGUGGUCUGAUGCGCAAUGCCCCUUCUAGUAAUUUUACUACUAUGAGGUGGUGGUAAUUUCUGCCUCAAGUGAAUAACUGUGUGUGACAUGCUAAUUUGAGUUGAGCUAAUCUGUGUACCUAGUGGGGUUUCUGGAGAGAUGUGCAGUGUGUGUGUACCUAGUGGAGGUUCUGGGGAGAUGUGCAGUGUCUGUGUACCUAGUGGAGGUUAUGGGGAGAUGUGUGUGUGUGUGUGUACCUAGUGGUGGUUCUGGGGAAAUUUGCAGUGUGUGUAUCUAGUGGGGGUUCUGGGAGAUGUGCAGUGUGUGUAUCUAGUGGAGGUUCUGGGGAGAUUUGCAGUGUCUGUGUACCUAGUGGAGGUUCUGGGGAGAUGUGUGUGUGUGUGUGUGUACCUAGUGGUGGUUCUGGGGAAAUUUGCAGUGUGUGUAUCUAGUGGGGGUUCUGGGGAGAUGUGUGUGUGUGUACCUAGUGGUGGUUCUGGGGAGAUAUGUGUGUGUGUGCAUCUAGUGGUGGUUCUGGGGAGAUGUGUGUGUGUGUGU
ensembl:lncRNA